rnacentral:rRNA from 1 species
UACGUAGGGGGCUAGCGUUGUCCGGAUUUAUUGGGCGUAAGGAGCGUGUAGGCGGCCAGGUGGGUCUGCUGUGAAAACUCGAGGCUCAACCUCGAGACGUCGGCGGAAACCAUCUGGCUAGAGUCCGGAAGAGGAGAGUGGAAUUCCUGGUGUAGCGGUGAAAUGCGCAGAUAUCAGGAAGAACACCCGUGGCGAAGGCGGCUCUCUGGGACGGUACUGACGCUGAGACGCGAAAGCGUGGGGAGCGAACAGG